AAAUUGAAGAGUUUGAUCAUGGCUCAGAUUGAACGCUGGCGGCAGGCCUAACACAUGCAAGUCGAACGGUAACAGGAAGCAGCUUGCUGCUUCGCUGACGAGUGGCGGACGGGUGAGUAAUGUCUGGGAAACUGCCUGAUGGAGGGGGAUAACUACUGGAAACGGUGGCUAAUACCGCAUAACGUCGCAAGACCAAAGAGGGGGACCUUCGGGCCUCUUGCCAUCAGAUGUGCCCAGAUGGGAUUAGCUUGUUGGUGAGGUAACGGCUCACCAAGGCGACGAUCCCUAGCUGGUCUGAGAGGAUGACCAGCCACACUGGAACUGAGACACGGUCCAGACUCCUACGGGAGGCAGCAGUGGGGAAUAUUGCACAAUGGGCGCAAGCCUGAUGCAGCCAUGCCGCGUGUAUGAAGAAGGCCUUCGGGUUGUAAAGUACUUUCAGCGGGGAGGAAGGUGUUGUGGUUAAUAACCGCAGCAAUUGACGUUACCCGCAGAAGAAGCACCGGCUAACUCCGUGCCAGCAGCCGCGGUAAUACGGAGGGUGCAAGCGUUAAUCGGAAUUACUGGGCGUAAAGCGCACGCAGGCGGUCUGUCAAGUCGGAUGUGAAAUCCCCGGGCUCAACCUGGGAACUGCAUUCGAAACUGGCAGGCUUGAGUCUUGUAGAGGGGGUAGAAUUCCAGGUGUAGCGGUGAAAUGCGUAGAGAUCUGGAGGAAUACCGGUGGCGAAGGCGGCCCCCUGGACAAAGACUGACGCUCAGGUGCGAAAGCGUGGGGAGCAAACAGGAUUAGAUACCCUGGUAGUCCACGCCGUAAACGAUGUCUACUUGGAGGUUGUGCCCUUGAGGCGUGGCUUCCGGAGCUAACGCGUUAAGUAGACCGCCUGGGGAGUACGGCCGCAAGGUUAAAACUCAAAUGAAUUGACGGGGGCCCGCACAAGCGGUGGAGCAUGUGGUUUAAUUCGAUGCAACGCGAAGAACCUUACCUGGUCUUGACAUCCACAGAACUUUCCAGAGAUGGAUUGGUGCCUUCGGGAACUGUGAGACAGGUGCUGCAUGGCUGUCGUCAGCUCGUGUUGUGAAAUGUUGGGUUAAGUCCCGCAACGAGCGCAACCCUUAUCCUUUGUUGCCAGCGGUUAGGCCGGGAACUCAAAGGAGACUGCCAGUGAUAAACUGGAGGAAGGUGGGGAUGACGUCAAGUCAUCAUGGCCCUUACGACCAGGGCUACACACGUGCUACAAUGGCGCAUACAAAGAGAAGCGACCUCGCGAGAGCAAGCGGACCUCAUAAAGUGCGUCGUAGUCCGGAUUGGAGUCUGCAACUCGACUCCAUGAAGUCGGAAUCGCUAGUAAUCGUGGAUCAGAAUGCCACGGUGAAUACGUUCCCGGGCCUUGUACACACCGCCCGUCACACCAUGGGAGUGGGUUGCAAAAGAAGUAGGUAGCUUAACCUUCGGGAGGGCGCUUACCACUUUGUGAUUCAUGACUGGGGUGAAGUCGUAACAAGGUAACCGUAGGGGAACCUGCGGUUGGAUCACCUCCUUACCUUAAAGAA
rnacentral:rRNA from 1 species